rnacentral:rRNA from 1 species
AACCAGACUCCUACGGGAGGCAGCAGUCGGGAAUAUUGCGCAAUGGAGGAAACUCUGACGCAGUGACGCCGCGUAUAGGAAGAAGGUUUUCGGAUUGUAAACUAUUGUCGUUAGGGAAGAUACAAGACAGUACCUAAGGAGGAAGCCCCGGCUAACUAUGUGCCAGCAGCCGCGGUAAUACAUAGGGGGCAAGCGUUAUCCGGAUUUACUGGGUGUAAAGGGGGCGCAGACGGCGAUGCAAGCCAGGAGUGAAAGCCCGGGGCCCAACCCCGGGACUGCUCUUGGAACUGCGUGGCUGGAGUGCAGGAGGGGCAGGCGGAAUUCCUGGUGUAGCGGUGAAAUGCGUAGAUAUCAGGAGGAACACCGGUGGCGAAGGCGGCCUGCUGAACUGCAACUGACGUUGAGGCCCGAAAGCGUGGGGAGCAAACAGGAUUAGAUACCCCAGUAAGC